AGACAGAGAGAGAGACAGAGAGAGAGAGAGACAGAGAGAGAGAGAGAGAGAGACAGAGAGAGAGAGACCUGACCAGGGAAGCUGGUUAGAGAAAUGCAACAAGGCCGGCUCUGAAGGUGGAGGAAGGGAGGCAGGAGCCCAGGGAUGCGGUGGCCUCUGCAAGCUGGAGAAAGAAUCUGUUUCCGGGGGAAUCUAAGUGACGAAGACACAGGGCAAAGCCGGGGGACUCAGUGAGCCUAGAAGAGGGGCCACCUAGCCCAGCUGGGACAGAGUUCCAGAAAAGAUCCCUAAAGCAAGGGAAAUGUCGAUUGAUACUUCAAGCACGAAUGGGAGUCAGUCAGCCAAAGGCGGGUGAGCAGAGAGAGAAGAGGGACAAGAGUUCCAGCAGGGGGACUAGCAGCCAAGUCUUCUGCUGCAAAAUGCAAGAAUGCCAUUCUUACGUGCUGGUGAAAGGCAAGUAAGUAUAGGCUCUCCCAUGCCAGACAGUAAUAAUUGUAAUAAACUGGGGCUGCCGCCAAAAUUGAAAUCAACAAAUGAUUACAGAGACAAUGGAAGCUCAGACCUGACCCUGAUGAAUGAAGUUGCCAACGUGGCUUCCUGGGGUGGAUGUCAGCCAGAGGCUUCCCCUGUGACUUGCAGUAGGUUCUCGUGACAGCCGUAAGUAGUUUGGGGACUUAGAGAGGCAAAAGCGUGCUUAUGGGGCUGGGGAGCGGGUGCAGAUGGGGUGGGUUGGUGGAGUCUGGAGUCUCCAUGGCCAGCAGAAGGAGGAACUUGGUGGAGAGAGGAGCUCGUAGGGGGUUCGUGAGAGGAUAGAAAUGGAGAGCAUUUGAGGUGGGGCAUGAGGCGACCGGCCUAGCCAUCUCAGACAGAGCCCGUCACCCAGCCCAGAACUGAGCACCCCUGGUGGGAGUCUGACCAACAAAGUGACAGGAACAGCCAGGCCCAGGUUCCAAGCCUGGCUCCAGCAACCCACACUCGUGGAAAAUGUCGGUGUGGGUUGGGGGAUGGCCAGGAACCCAGGCAACACGAAACACGCCCUGCCCCUUUGCUCCCUGGCUUCGUGUCCUCUCCAGGUGGUGUCCCCACUGCCAGUUUGUAUGCACAGCCUGUGUCCUUCCCCUCUCGGGUGGCCUUUCCUCCUCCUGUUUCUAAGCCUUACUUGGGUCCAGCUGCGCCCUUCUCAGAUUUCUGUCCUCAGAGCUCCUACAACGCUCCUCUGUACCCUGGGAGGGUGACAUACAAAACCUGCCUGUGUCCACCCCUCCUGUGUCAGACCUAGUAGGUGGAGCCUCAGUGCUCAUUCAUCUUUGCAGCACUGAUGCUACUUCCCCCUCCUCCAGGAAGCCUUCCUUGACCUCUCCACUGAGCUGAUGACCUCCUCCUUUGCCUUCUUCUGUGGAACCUGUCAUGUUCUUAUCAUGUCAGGUUCUUAUCAUCAUGCCAGGCUCAGAGUUGGACUGUUUACGAGUCAAUCCUCCGUUCCAGAUGCCCGACCUCUGCAGCCACACCUGUGUCUCUUGCUCCGGAAUGAUAACCUCAUACCUAGCCCCAGCCGUGGCACUUCACAGACUCUCAAGGAACAUCUGCUGAACACGAUCAACAAAGACCUUUCUCCUGGAGUUGUUCAGAAAAUUAAAUGAGAAUGAUGGAAGACAAGCACCUGUAUCAGUCAAGAUUCAAGCAGGGAAGAAAAGCCACUAAGAAUGGCGUAAAAUAAAGGCUUGCUCAACGAGGCUUUGUCUCGUGCAGCUGUGGGGGCUGGUGGAGCUGUCCAGGGGAGGCUGUUGUCUCUGUGUUUGGGGCUGCAGUCCAUGGGGCAAGCUGGCGGGGAAGGAAAGACGGACGUACACUGGACAGCAGGGACAAGCCGGAAUUCAAGUGGCAGCGCACAAGGACUUGCUGAAUCCGUGUGGGUCAACACCCAAUCGGAUCUUGGAAGCUGCAUGUUGACUAUGGCGGAGCCUCCCCCAGCCUGGGGCUCUGAGUGCCCGAGUGGAGCAGAG